CUGUCCUCUCCCGGGGAGGCGGCGGCGGCGGCGGCCCCGGCUGUGCCGCAGGCUCGGCGGCGGCGGGCAGCGGCGCUGCGGCAGGGUCCCGGCGGCCGUGCCCUACGAAGGGCCUGGGCCGGGCGCGCUGGGAAGCGGCGGGGCUGGAGCAGGCGGAGGGCAGUAAAUCUGUGAGCAACUUUUUGAAGCCUGAACAUAACUCAAUCAUGUGAAAAUCAGGGAAGGAAAAAAACAAGAACCAUCAAGAUCAUCAGUGAUACCAUUUAAUGCACUUCUGGAAUGCGUUCAGAUAACACACCACGAAGGCAGAACACAGUGUGGCCAGGAGCAUGACUGGGCCACAAAUAAUUCGGUACAAUGAUCUUGCAGUGAUAUUAACAUUCUAGUUAGUCACUGCUAUUAGGGUAAACAUACUAAAAAAUGAACCACAUAAAGAAUUUCAUAACCUCAAAAUUCCAGAGACCAUGAGACACUUCGGUGUUCAUACUGCCCAUUAUGCUCUGAAUGUACAGAGAGUGUAGAAUAUGGGCUAGAUAGAAAAGGACAAAGAUACCAGCAAACAAUAUUCAGAAUCAACUCUUUAAUAAUUUAACUGUAUACUUCAGAGAGCAGAACGAUGUAAGCAACAUGGGAAUUCCCACCAACUGUGCUUUGUUUAGUUUAUUUCACUAAGCAUUUGUUUUUUUGUUGUCAAAGCAUAUAAAAACAUUAAAAGAAUCAGUUGUCUACAACUUUUAGGAUAGCAUCCAUGACAGUGGGCAGGAACCUCCCAGUACCUCAUCUUUCUUAUCGACUAUAUUGUAAUUCGGCUGAAGCAGUUGUGUAUCUGCCACAUUCCAGGUCACCUAUAGACAAGACCUACUGCGUCAACUGAUUGAGCAGCCAGGAAGAAAAGCCCUUUCCAUUAUGAAUGUUAUGACACAAGAGUUAGAUGGUUUAUUUCCUCAUUUAUCAGAAAUAGAAUCAAAUAUAAGAGCAUAAAGAAAUGAAGAGAUGCAUUCACAGUGCUAUAAAAACUUACUGAAAUACAUAAAUCUGGCUGUAGAAGGGGCAUUAUUUCUCUGGUAGCUACCCAUGUGUAUAUGGGAAUGGAGACUACUGGAAACAAGCAGAGUUGAAUAAAUGAUUUUUUCACA
rnacentral:lncRNA from 1 species